rnacentral:rRNA from 1 species
UACAGAGGUCCCAAGCGUUGUUCGGAUUCACUGGGCGUAAAGGGUGCGUAGGUGGCGAGGUAAGUCGGAUGUGAAAGCUCGGAGCUCAACUCCGAAAUGGCAUUGGAAACUACCUUGCUCGAGGGUUGGAGGGGGGACUGGAAUGCUUGGUGUAGCAGUGAAAUGCGUAGAUAUCAGGAGGAACACCGGUGGCGAAGGCGGCCCUCUGGACGGUGACUGACGCUGAGACGCGAAAGCGUGGGGAGCAAACAGG